rnacentral:rRNA from 1 species
CACGUAGGGGACAAGCGUUGUCCGGAUUCAUUGGGCGUAAAGAGCUCGUAGGCGGCCAACUAAGUCGGAUGUGAAAUCCCCAGGCUCAACCUGGGAACUGCAUCCGAUACUGGAUGGCUUGAAUUCGGGAGAGGGAUGCAGAAUUCCAGGUGUAGCGGUGAAAUGCGUAGAUAUCUGGAGGAAUACCGGUGGCGAAGGCGGCAUCCUGGACCGACAUUGACGCUGAGGAGCGAAAGCUAGGGGAGCAAACGGG